rnacentral:rRNA from 1 species
GGAAUAUUGGACAAUGGGCGCAAGCCUGAUCCAGCAAUGCCGCGUGUGUGAAGAAGGCCUGCGGGUUGUAAAGCACUUUCGGUGGGGAGGAAGGUCUUAAUGCUAAUAUCAUUAAGAAUUGACGUUACCUACAGAAGAAGCAUCCGCUAACUCUGUGCCAGCAGCCGCGGUAAUACAGAGGGUGCGAGCGUUAAUCGGAAUUACUGGGCGUAAAGCGUGCGUAGGUGGCUGAAUAAGUCAGAUGUGAAAGCCCUGGGCUUAACCUGGGAAUUGCGUUUGGUACUGUUUAGCUAGAGGGUGAGAGAGGGAAGUGGAAUUUCCGGUGUAGCGGUGAAAUGCGUAGAUAUCGGAAGGAACACCAGUGGCGAAGGCGACUUCCUGGAUCAUUUCUGACACUGAGGCACGAAAGCGUGGGGAGCAAAC